AUGAACGCUGGCGGCGUGCCUAAUCCAUGCCCGUCGAGCGAAUAGAUGAGGAGCUUGCUCCUCUGACGUUAGCGGCGGACGGGUGAGUAACACGUGGAUAACCUACCUAUAAGACUGGGAUAACUUCGGGAAACCGGAGCUAAUACCGGAUAAUAUAUUGAACCGCAUGGUUCAAUAGUGAAAGACGGUUUUGCUGUCACUUAUAGAUGGAUCCGCGCCGCAUUAGCUAGUUGGUAAGGUAACGGCUUACCAAGGCAACGAUGCGUAGCCGACCUGAGAGGGUGAUCGGCCACACUGGAACUGAGACACGGUCCAGACUCCUACGGGAGGCAGCAGUAGGGAAUCUUCCGCAAUGGGCGAAAGCCUGACGGAGCAACGCCGCGUGAGUGAUGAAGGUCUUCGGAUCGUAAAACUCUGUUAUUAGGGAAGAACAAAUGUGUAAGUAACUAUGCACGUCUUGACGGUACCUAAUCAGAAAGCCACGGCUAACUACGUG
rnacentral:rRNA from 1 species